rnacentral:lncRNA from 1 species
AGAUUUCUUAUAAACCACUCCCAUGUCUCUUUAUUCUCUAUCUCUACAACAGCGUAAGUAAGCGGGAACAUUCCAUUGUUCCCAUCGAUCCCCACUGCUGCCAAUAACUGACCAGGAUGUGGUCCCUUAAUGAAACACCCAUCCAUACCAAUUACGGGCCUACAACCUUGUAAAAAUCCAGUCUUGCAUGCUUCCAAACAAAUAUACAGCCUAUGAAACCUUCUUUGAUCACCAUCCAUCUCAGUUUUAAGCAAAACUGUGCUUCUUGGAUUUGC